rnacentral:rRNA from 1 species
UACGAAGGGGGCUAGCGUUGCUCGGAAUCACUGGGCGUAAAGCGCACGUAGGCGGACUCUUAAGUCAGGGGUGAAAUCCUGGAGCUCAACUCCAGAACUGCCUUUGAUACUGGGAGUCUUGAGUUCGGGAGAGGUGAGUGGAACUGCGAGUGUAGAGGUGAAAUGCGUAGAUAUCUGGAGGAACACCGGUGGCGAAGGCGGCAUCCUGGACCGGUAUUGACGCUGAGGCGCGAAAGCCAGGGGAGCAAACGGG